rnacentral:tRNA from 1 species
AGGAAUAUAGUUCAAUGGUAGAACGAUGGUCUUCAAAAUCAUUUAUGUGGGUUCGAUUCCUGCUAUUCCUG